UACGUAGGCAGCGAGCGUUGUUCGGAAUUACUGGGCGUAAAGAGUGUGUAGGCGGUGCUCCCAGUCUGUUGUGAAAUCUCCCGGCUUAACUGGGAGGGUACAGCGGAAACUAGAGUGCUAGAGGGUGGGAGAGGUAAGCGGAAUUCCUGGUGUAGCGGUGAAAUGCGUAGAUAUCAGGAGGAACACCUGUGGUGUAGACAGCUUACUGGACCACUUCUGACGCUGAGACACGAAAGCGUGGGUAGCAAACAGG
rnacentral:rRNA from 1 species